CCGAUGAUUGUGGGGUGGUGCUCUGUGCGGCCCCAGCAAGUCCAAAGCAUGUUGCAACCCUUGUCCAGGAGCAGCCACUUCCUCAAAACUCAGCUGUGGGUAUAUAGUCUGGAGGCUUCAUCAUGUUUAAAAAUUAUUUAAGCUUUGGACAUGAGUGUUUUUUCUUAGUCUUCCCCAUCUUCACUGCCAAGGCUCAAGUGUGACAUGUGCAGCGUGGCUGUAGGAGCCGGGUAGAGCACUGUACAGUGGGACAGAUUGAUGUCAGACCAUUAGGGGGACUGGGCUGUAAAGGCCUUCUCAUAACUGUGCCCUGUCUCUCUGGCUCUUCCAGUAUCCACCCCUGCUAAUUCCUCCCUGGGGAGAAGUCGAUGCUAUGGAUGCUUUUGAUAUUGGCUCAUUUGAUGAAGAGGAUACUAAAGGCAUUAAGAUUAUACCCUGGGCAAGGACUACAUCAUGCACGGGCACAUGCUGAAGCUGGGCAACCCCUUCCUUACGCAGUGCAGCACCACUACUCCUACCUCUUCCCAAACAGGCUUGAGUGGAGAGGAGAAGGCGAGUCACGGGAUUCCUGGAGUAUUUAUCCAAAAAACCCCAUAAAAUGGUAAGGAACUCAUCACACUAUAGCAUGUUAUAGACCUAGUGUGACAAUCUUUGAAGGAUGUCACCUGUACUUAGAGCUUCAUUUUGAUAUUAUCAAAAUAUUCUUAGUUUACAAGCCAGCAUCACCAGGCAUUUUCUGAGUUGCUGGGUUCCAGCAGAGCUGCACCCUUUUGCUGGAGAGAAUCUCACGUAGUACGUCACUGUCCCCUCCUGACCUGAUGGAGAACAGUUAGAGAGCACAGGAAG
rnacentral:lncRNA from 1 species